GUGGGUAUGGCCUAGAUGGUUAAGGCGCCAGAUUGUGGCUCUGGAGAUCAUGGGUUCGAAUCCCAUUAUCCACCCCA
rnacentral:tRNA from 1 species